CCGGUCGUAUUUCUCACCCCGCGCCGCAACCCCAGGGAAAUUUGAAUUUUCAGAAGACAGGGAGACAGAGAAGACGGCCAGGAUAGGAGCGCUCGACGGACGAGGCGAAAAAUCGCCAUUGCCGCCGGCGAGCUGUUCCGCGACCGCCGCCACUGGGUCGAACGAAGGACACCAUGGAAUUGAGCUGGCCUUCAAGCAACAGCAGGGCUGUUGUUGGUGGGGGCCAUUACGAAUUCCAGAAUGGGUAUCAACAAAGUGAUUCAGAGGACUAUCAACAUAAGAGAGAUAAGGGUGUCUCACAUUCAUCAGAUGAAGAGGGCAACAGCUUCAGUGAAGUAAUAGUUACACCCUACCCGCUGUCAGAUUGUUUCAACUCGUUUUGUAACGAUUUUUUGACAUUUUUUUCUGACCUCCUUUUUUUGUUUACUAUCGUUGAAUAGCUGGGGAAAACAUAUGACACCGACCAUCAGCACGAGAAUUUUUUUAACGAUGUUACCACCAUGAUAAGAUUGUUUUUGACUGUCAGCUUCAACACGAAAAUAAAGCAACUGAAAAAACAUUUUUGUAUGUGCUUUUUUUUUCUGUUGUCAUGUGUUUUUUUUAUGCAGGUGCUGAAGGGACUGAAAAGGAAACGUCGCAGGAAGAGUAUGCAGAAAGAAAGCAAGAAGCAAUCACAUCAGGUUGUUUUUUGACCAUUAGUAGCGGGCGGGUGGUCAGCAUAUGUUUUGUAUGUUUCGGUUUUUUUAUGAGGUCAAAAACUUGGAACCAACCUGGAGGGGGCAAGCGGAGAUGAAUUUGCACUAAAGGCUUACAGCCGAUGCAACGCCCCCUACUUAUAUGAAGUUAUCCAAAGUUUCUCAAAAUCUGAAAGCAAAUGUGCACUGAUAAGACAAGCAGGGUUUGGCAGCAUACUAGAGUUCGAUGGGUCUUCUGUGCCAAGGGCCUUUGUACAAUGGAUUGCAGACAGAACUAAUACCAGCACAGAAGAAGUUUGUUUCAGAGAUGACAGAAUUAAGCUAAGUGCCAAGUUUGUUACCAUGAUUCUAGGCACCCCAGCUGGCAAAUACGAAAUCCAGACCACUGGUGAAGAUGGGAAGUUUUCUUUUCUGGACUGUCAGAACUUCCUCCUAUCAAGUUCUUUGGGAAGAAAAUCAUGAAUACCAGAUGACAUGUUUCUUAGAUGCUUCCUGGUUGUAGUGUUGUCUACUUUUCUUUGUCCCAACUCUAGCACAUACCCCAGCACCAAGUAUUUGGGUGCCUUUGUCGACAUUGAGAGGAUCAAAGACAUGAAUUGGUCGAAGCUAACGCAUGAUUGGAUGAUUUAUUCUAUCAAGAAGUACCAAAAACAAAAGGGGAAGCAAAGUCGUGUUUCCUGUACUUUAGGCGGAUGCAUUUAUGGCUUAGCGGUCAGAUGCCUAGACCAAUUCGAUUUUGGGAAAGUAGAGUUCUCAACGAUCUUGCCCAGGAUACUAGUGUGGAAGGGAGACAUGAUCAUUGAUUUUAGCAAAAUGGUUAUGCAAAAGAACAGCAAACACGGCGUGCACCAAAUAAAGCCUGAAACAGAAACUUGCUAUAGCAUAGGGGAAAAACCAGGCGUAAGCGAGACCAAGCUGAUGGAUGCUAUGCUCUUGGACUUGAGAUCAAAGUUAGAUUGUUGUUUGGGGCAUUCAGUCUCAUCCGAGGAAUAUAUCACACAGUAUGUGUUUUUUUCAAAAGUUUUUUUUUUCACGUAAUCAUUUUUGUGCGCUGUCUUUGGUUCAGGCAAAGCAGAAUAUAGCAAUUAUAUUCCAGAACUACAUGGAGAGUGAGAAUUAACAUUGCUGGGAGAAAGCUAAAUGUCUAGCAAUGGACGUGAUUACAAGCCUAACAACUUCAUGCGAAAUCAGAACGAAAAAGAUGGACAAUUAUGCGAACGGGCAUUCUUGGCUUUGUCAGAACACACUGAAGUUGUAAAAGAUUCACAAGAUAGUUCAAACAACUGUCCAAUUACAUCAGCAUGCACCGAGAAGGUUGAGUCUAGUGGGAACAACAGUGAAAGAGCAGAUAGUGUUGGCCAUAAAGAUGGAAGCAGCCGAAACACCCCAGGCUUUGUGCAGACAAAAUCCGAGAGAAACGAAAGUUCAAUGCAAGGGGGAGAAGAGUUGAAGGGCCAUGAGUUGGGUGUGGUCAACACCCACAACAUAGCGCACGAUAGGGCACCAAAACAACAGACUAAUGCAUCGCACACCAAUGGGGCAGGCGUUCUGCCUUAUGUUGAACCAAUCAUAGAACAAACAAAGGCGACGGAACCAACCAGGGCAGAUGCCGCGGCGCAAGGCGCGCAGGUUAUUGGAGAACAACCCAAGGCGACAGGACUAAUCGUAGAAGAUGAUGCAGUACCCUGUGUUCAGGUGCCAGGCGGCUUAGCUGAUCCGUGUUUCAGAAAUGACAAUGGGGCUUCACACCCUGCGGGCACUGAUGUUGAUUCAAAGGAGCAGUUUUCUCAAAGGAACACUAGCAGCACAAAGAUUGAUUGUAUUAUGUCUCAAACAAGCGCGCAAGCGCAUGGGAACGAUGAUUUGCAGCAGCUUACAAAUUGCAUAUCAGAAACAGAGCCUAAUAUUGGGGAGAAAGAAGAACCAAAUAACGCUUCUACACCAUUAUGCGCAAGCCCAAAGCAUGCGCCAAUGGACCACAUGGCAGGCGGUGAACACAAGACAAUAGGACAUACUAGUGGACCUUCCAAAGGCACUGACAGCAAGAUAAUAACAGAUAUAAUGGAGAAAAUUCAAAAGCCAAAAUCAGCAGAGCCAUACCCCGGGCAAAACAAAGCAACUGCAGGGAACACGGGCGACAAAUAUGCUGCAAACAAAGCUUUGCAGAAUAAUAGUUUGGCAGCGAUUGUUGAAGUAUAUGCAGACAGUAAUUCAAACAAUUCUUCAAAUCACAACCCCACCGAAUGGGAAGUGCAAAACGGACUUGAUUGAUGCCAAGCAGAUUUCUCCAACGAGUAACUCUCAAGCAAAUGCAUCAAUGAUAAUGCCAAAAACGACAAGUAGGAAAACAUCGACGCAGCAUGGAAAAGUUAUUUCGCAAGUCCCUUUUAUCAGGCAAGGGUCGCAUCUUAUGGUAGGAAGCCAGGUCAGUAGGAAUCCACUAUUCAAUGUGCCCAAAAACAAGUCAGCAACGACAAGUGCAG